AUUGGAAGAGAAUAUAGCAGCGAAAGAAGGGAAUAUAAUGCUGUCAUUUCCAGUGACAUAGUUCACUAUCUAAUAUAUGUAUACAAAAGGUUUGAAGGGGGAACUAGUAAUCAAGUUGGAUAUCCAUAAGGUGUAUGAUUAUCUUGACGCGACGCAAUCAUGUUUAAUCUUUGGUUUUGCCACUCAAAUUGGGUUAAGUUUAACAGUAGAUUUUGUAACCGAGC
rnacentral:lncRNA from 1 species